CAGUCGCCACGGUAAUACAGAGGGUGCGAGCGUUAAUCGGAUUUACUGGGCGUAAAGCGUGCGUAGGCGGCUUUUUAAGUCGGAUGUGAAAUCCCUGAGCUUAACUUAGGAAUUGCAUUCGAUACUGGGAAGCUAGAGUAUGGGAGAGGAUGGUAGAAUUCCAGGUGUAGCGGUGAAAUGCGUAGAGAUCUGGAGGAAUACCGAUGGCGAAGGCAGCCAUCUGGCCUAAUACUGACGCUGAGGUACGAAAGCAUGUGGAGCAAACAGGAUUAGAUACCCGAGUAGUCCCUGUCUCUUAUAA
rnacentral:rRNA from 1 species